GACAGAGGUGCCAAGCGUUAGGCGGAAUCACUGGGCUUAAAGCGUGCGUAGGUGGUUCGUUAAGUCUGUCGUGAAAGCCCCGGGCUCAACCUGGGAAUGGCGAUGGAUACUGGCGGGCUAGAGUGCGGUAGAGGAGAGUGGAAUUCCCGGUGUAGCAGUGAAAUGCGUAGAGAUCGGGAGGAACAUCAGUUGCGAAGGCGGCUCUCUGGACCAGCACUGACACUGAGGCACGAAAGCGUGGGGAGCAAACAGG
rnacentral:rRNA from 1 species